rnacentral:rRNA from 1 species
AACGAACGCUGGCGGCAUGCCUAACACAUGCAAGUCGAACGAGACCUUCGGGUCUAGUGUCGCACGGGUUCGUAACGCGUGGGAACCUGCCCUUAGGUUCGGAAUAACUCCCCGAAAGGGGUGCUAAUACCGGAUAAUGUCUUCGGACCAAAGAUUUAUCGCCUUUGGAUGGGCCCGCGUUGGAUUAGCUAGUUGGUAGGGUAAAAGCCUACCAAGGCGACGAUCCAUAGCUGGUCUGAGAGAAUGAUCAGCCACACUGGGACUGAGACACGGCCCAGACUCCUACGGGAGGCAGCAGUGGGGAAUGUUGGACAAUGGGGGGAGGCCUGAUGCAGCAAUGACGCGUGAGUGAUGAAGGCAUUAGGGUUGUAAAGCGCUUUUACCCGGGAUGAUAAUGACAGUACCGGGAGAAUAAGCUCCGGCUAACUCCGUG